rnacentral:rRNA from 2 species
AGCGCAACCCUUAUUGUUAGUUGCCAUCAUUCAGUUGGGCACUCUAGCGAGACUGCCGGUAAUAAACCGGAGGAAGGUGGGGAUGACGUCAAAUCAUCAUGCCCCUUAUGACCUGGGCUACACACGUGCUACAAUGGUUGGUACAACGAGUCGCAAGUCGGUGACGGCAAGCAAAUCUCUUAAAGCCAAUCUCAGUUCGGAUUGUAGGCUGCAACUCGCCUACAUGAAGUCGGAAUCGCUAGUAAUCGCGGAUCAGCACGCCGCGGUGAAUACGUUCCCGGGCCUUGUACACACCGCCCGUCACACCACGAGAGUCUGUAACACCCGAAGUCGGUGAGGUAACCGUAAGGAGCCAGCCGCCUAAGGUGGGAUAGAUGAUUGGGGUGAAGUCGUAC